GACGAACGCUGGCGGCAGGCUUAACACAUGCAAGUCGAACGGGUGCAGCAAUGCAUCAGUGGCAGACGGGUGAGUAACACGUGGGAACCUUCCUAGGGGUACGGAACAACUCAGGGAAACUUGAGCUAAUACCGUAUACGUCCGUGAGGAGAAAGAUUUAUCGCCCUUAGACGGGCCCGCGUCGGAUUAGCUAGUUGGGGGGGGAACGGACUACCAAGGCGACGAUCAGUAGCUGAUCUGAGAGGAUGAUCAGCCACACUGGGACUGGGACACGGCGCAGACUCCUACGGGAGGCACGAGUGGGGAAUCUUGGACAAGGGGCGCAAGGCUGAUCCAGCCAUGCCGCGUGAGUGAAGAAGGUCUUAGGGUUGUAAAGCUCUUUUGCCAGGGACGAUAAUGACGGUACCUGGAGAAUAAGCCCCGGCAAACUUCGUGCCAGCCGCCGCCGUAA
rnacentral:rRNA from 1 species